rnacentral:rRNA from 1 species
AAUAUCAAAGGUGAGCCAGUACAGGAUGGACCCGCGUCUGAUUAGCUAGUUGGUAAGGUAACGGCUUACCAAGGCGACGAUCAGUAGCCGACCUGAGAGGGUGAUCGGCCACAUUGGAACUGAGACACGGUCCAAACUCCUACGGGAGGCAGCAGGGGGGAAUAUUGCACAAUGGGCGAAAGCCUGAUGCAGCAACGCCGCGUGAGUGAUGAAGGCCUUCGGGUCGUAAAACUCUGUCCUCAAGGAAGAUAAUGACGGUACUUGAGGAGGAAGCCCCGGCUAACUACGUGCCAGCAGCCGCGGUAAUACGUAGGGGGCUAGCGUUAUCCGGAUUUACUGGGCGUAAAGGGUGCGUAGGCGGUCUUUCAAGUCAGGAGUGAAAGGCUACGGCUCAACCGUAGUAAGCUCUUGAAACUGGGAGACUUGAGUGCAGGAGAGGAGAGUGGAAUUCCUAGUGUAGCGGUGAAAUGCGUAGAUAUUAGGAGGAACACCAGUUGCGAAGGCGGCUCUCUGGACUGUAACUGACGCUGAGGCACGAAAGCGUGGGGAGCAAACAGGAUUAGAUACCCUG